rnacentral:rRNA from 1 species
GACGAACGCUGGCGGCGUGCUUAACACAUGCAAGUCGAACGGUGACGCGCCUUCCUUUUUGGUGGGUGUGGAUGAGUGGCGAACCGGUGAGUAACACGUUAGUAACCUGCCCCCUUCUUCUGGAUAACCGCAUGAAGGUGUGGCUAAUACGGGAUAUUCUGUGUCUGUCGCAUCAUGGGUCUGUGAAAGAUUUUGUUUCGGUGGGGGAUGGUCUCGUGGCGGAUUAGCUAGUUGGUGGGGUGAUGGCCUACCAAGGCGACGAUGCGGAGCCGGCCUGAUAGGAUGAUCAGCCACACUAGAGCUGCGAAACGGUCCAGACUACUACGGGAGGCAGCAGUGGGGAAUAUUGGAGCACGGGCGGAAGCCUGAUGAAGCAGUGCCGCGUGGGUGAGGAUGGAGUUCUGGGGGUAGAGCACUUUUGUCGGGAGUGAAGCGCGGCAGCCUCGUAUGUCGCUGUGUUGACGGUAGCUGGAGAAUAAGCACCGGCUAACUACGUG